CUCGUAGGUGGCCAACUAAGUCAGACGUGAAAUCCCCAGGCUUAACCUGGGAACUGCGUCUGAUACUGGAUGGCUUGAAUUCGGGAGAGGGAUGCAGAAUUCCAGGUGUAGCGGUGAAAUGCGUAGAUAUCUGGAGGAAUACCGGUGGCGAAGGCGGCAUCCUGGACCGAGAUUGACACUGAUGAGCGAAAGCUAGGGGAGCAAACG
rnacentral:rRNA from 1 species